CCGUCCUCCUCGCCCUGCUCAGUGCAUCAACCACCACCGGUAGCACCCAGGAUUCCUGUCCAGGUGAGUGCCACACCAGUCCUGCUGCCUGGGGCAGGCUGUUCAGUCCGCCCUCCUGGCACAAGGGCCAUUACAAGGCCCUGGGGGAGAGGGGGGGAUUUUUCCUUCUAUGCACCUUUUUAAUUCAGCUGCAGAUGGAAGGCUGCGGGUGGGUGACGAAGCCUCAGCUGCGUCCUUAUGAAGCUGCUGGCUCCAGUCAGAAGUCCCCUCAGCAGUGGGGUCUCCAGGAACAGGUUUCCCGAUUCUUUCGAUUCCCAGUGCAAGAUGUCCAUCUGUGGAUCUGCCCCGGGCUCUGCCGGAUGCAGAGCUGUAUGAAGGGACAAUCCAGUGCGUGCUGUGUGCCUGGCACCUGGCAGCUCAGGCACACCACACCAUGCAGUCUUCUGUCUGUGUUCCCCGGGAAGGCAAAAGGUGUGAUUUGAAACUGAUCUAGUGUCAUAAAAUGGGACAGAACAUUUACAGUCCAGACCCGCCAUUGCCAUUUACUCUUUGUCAUCAAUACACCACAGGAUACCUCACAUCUUUUGUUUUAUCAAGCUAUAGUACCUUUGUCAUGCGUGUAAUAUCCCAUAUAACAGCCUUCUUCCCAGUAAACUCCUCUGAAGUUAGAGAGGUUCCAUGCCUCUCUCUUCUAAUGUUAACUCAUACAAUCAUGCUGAGCUCCCAUCCUCAGGUAGGACAUGACUUCUGCCUGUCUUUGCCUUUCGCACUGUUUCUGAAGCCCAAAGGGCUCAACUUCUUAUCCCAAACAUUUCAGAAUCAUAAUAAUCUCCAGGAUGAUUGUCUUCAUUUACGCAGAGCUGAAAAUAGUGGGACUUGGGAAGGCAGACCAACUUGCUGUUCUUCAAGGAUGCCCAGGGAUCCCAGGUGCAGCUGGCCGAAAGGGAGAACCAGGCCUUUCAGGUACAAAAAGAGAAAUGGGAAGCAAGGGAUCCCCUGGGAAAGCAGGACCGCCCGGUGCAAAAGGAGCAGCUGGAGACCCUGUAUUGCCUGGACCAAAAGUCUGCUCAAAAGCCAGGAACUGCCAGGAGCUGCUGGAUAAAGGCAAGAUCCUGAUCACCAUGCACCCCCAAGGCUGCAAUGCUACCACUGUCUUCUGCGGUAUGGACACGGAUGGUGGAGGAUGGAUUGUUUUCCAGAGAUGCUUGGAUGGGUCAGUGAAUUUUUUGCGAGACUGGAAUUCAUACGAACGAGGAUUUGGCAACCAGCUGAUGGAGUUCUGGCUGGGGAAUGACAACCUUCACUUCCUCACCUCUCUGGGAGCAUUGACCUGAGAGACUUCAACAACAGCUACUAUUUUGCCAAGUAUGCUUCCUUCCAAGUUUUAGGAGAGUCUGAGAAAUACAAACUGGUUCUGGGAGACUUCCUCGGUGGGAAUGCUGGAGACUCUUUAUCAUAGCAUGAGGCCAUGUCAUUUUCAACAGCAGAUCAGGGCAAUGACAUGAGAUCCUUCAACUGUGCCACAGUCUCCAAGGAGGGUGGUGGUGCAACGACUGCCACACAUGCCUCUAACCUCAGCAGCACGUACCGGCCGGGUGCACGUGGGAGCUGUGCUGACAGCAUCAACUGGAAGACGGGCAAAGAAUGCCAUUACUCCCAUAAAUGAACAGAAGUGAAAUUCAGGCCAGUAGCGCAGGAGGAUGUCUGACUGGCACUGGCAGAUGCCACCCAACAGAAGACAGAAAACAUCACAUUGUUUGAGGGCGAGAUCAGACCAAGAAGGACACUAUAAGUUGUGCCUUUGGCCCAGAGCAGCUGUAGCCUUUAGAGAUCAGAAGGGAGCAGUACUGCUUUGAGCUUUUGUAAGCCCUGACUUUAAUCCUGCUCUAUCUCCAGCAGCCCUGCUGAUGCUGAGUAAGCUUUUCUGAAUGUAAAGAUUUGAUGAAAAGACUAC